GUCAGUCCUAUGUAGUUAUGGGGAGACCUGUUACUCCCUAGAAAUACUCCAUUUACUUUAGGAACAAUCGCAAACUGCUCCAGACGGGUUCAAAGCAGAUAGAUUGUCCAGAUUCUCUUGGUAGAAGGGAAAGCGUUCAUACUGACUGGACAAGUGGUCAGUAAGCAUGCCCAUUUCUACUUGGAAGGUUCUAGAAGACAUUUUUCUGAAUCUUUCUGGUUUUUGUUUUUGUUUUUGUUUUUUUUUAACCAGAGUGCUGGGGAUUGAUUCCAGGGACGCUUUAUCCCUGAGCUACACCCACAGCCUUUUGUAUUUUGAGAAAGUAUCUUGCUAAAUUGCUGAGGCUGACCUGGCCUCGAAUUUACAAUCCUUUGGCCUUACAACCCUUCUGCCUCACCGUCCUCCAAUCCCUGGGAUUACAGGCAUGUGCCACCAUACCCAGCUGAAAAACCAUCCUUUCAUAAGUAGCCUUCUGCCCCUAGAAACCACAGAUGGAUACCUAGAAACUUGGGGGCAGCACUGACUCAGUCCCUUACUGAGUUUUCUCAUACAUAAGAAAACUCAAAUGGAACCACCGUUUGACCCAGCUAUCCCACUCCUUGAUUUAUACCAAAGGACUUAACAUCAGCAUACUAUAGUGACACAGCUGCAUCAAUAUUUUAGCAGCUCAGUUCACAAUAGCUAAACUGUGGGAUCAACCUAGCUGCCUUUCAACAGGUGAAUGGAUAAAGAAAAUGUGGUACAUAUGCUGAAUGGAGUAUUACUCAGCCUUAAGGAAGAAUGAAAUUAUGGUAUUUGCAGGUAAAUGGAU
rnacentral:lncRNA from 1 species